rnacentral:rRNA from 1 species
CGGCGGACGGGUGAGUAACACGUGGAUAACCUACCUAUAAGACUGGGAUAACUUCGGGAAACCGGAGCUAAUACCGGAUAAUAUAUUGAACCGCAUGGUUCAAUAGUGAAAGACGGUUUUGCUGUCACUUAUAGAUGGAUCCGCGCCGCAUUAGCUAGUUGGUAAGGUAACGGCUUACCAAGUCAACGAUGCGUAGCCGACCUGAGAGGGUUAUCGGCCACACUGGAACUGAGACACGGUCCAG